AGACUGGCGGGGAGACUUGAAACCGCUCCGGUACUCCGAUUGGUCCCCUCGCAGAAAGGGGGCGUGGCCCCUCCUUACUAUGCGGUGCAAGGACCCAACAACAUUCCAGUCGCCUGGGCCACGCCCCCGGGCCACUCCCCGCUCGCUGGGCCGCCGCCUCCCCGUCCCCUCGGCCACACCCCCUUCCCAACUACUUAAAAGGCCACUCCAGAGAGUGUCCCUGUUCGGUGCCCCGGUGUCCCUGUUUCCCUGCGAUGUUGGGAGAGGGCUCUAUGGUUCCACCGUGUGGAAUCUGGGCAGAUGGAGAAGCCAAACCUGGGUUCGAGUCUAUUUCGGUAUUUCCUGCUUAGAACCCAGUGCCUUAUGUAAGACUACCGCUGAUGAAUCCGGAAAGGAGUGUGUAGGGGAUGAUGGAACAAGGACUACGGGAUUGACCUCGGGACCCGAUGACCUCCACACUAAAAUGACACCUUAUGUGCAAGUCGACUCUGAUGCUCAAACUCACGUCAUGGAGGCUUUCGCGGGAAGAGUUCUUACUGACUGAGCCGUCCUGUUGCCCCAUUUGAAGUGCUUGUUGGCCAUCUGUCCUCUGUGAGAUCCCUUAGGAGACAGGGAUCUGCCCAGGUCCGGGCUGAUGAGACGGAUAAAGCAGUCAGAUUGCAAUGGGUGACUCAAAGGAACUUACUGUGAACUUCAGUGGAGCUCACCCUGCUAAGGAAGGUCAAGACCUUAUCGUGGGGGGACAGGGACAGCUGGUGUAGCCUCCCUACUCUAGAUCUCACAGCCUGAUAUUUGUCUCUCUUAAUCUUGCCCAAGUAGGUCAAAGCCUACAUGGUACUAUUGUCGUGAUAUGUACAUACCCGUGUUCCUUAGGAGUGUGCAUGCUUGCCUGCUCCUACACACAAGUACUUUUUUUUUUUACAUCAUUUUAAUGAAAAUGCUGUUUUUUCCCAAAUGAAAGCGGCUGUUUGAGAAGCUCUGUGUUAUGCUUAUGUAAUUCCAAAUGUCUGAGUUUGGGUAGAUGCUAAUUCAUUAACAGAAAGGAAGUCGGGGGAGUUCUGGCACCUUCACCUGCCACCAUUAAAACAAUAGGAUCGGCCAGGUAGAUCUUAAUGGGCUGCUAAGGGACCUAGUUAGAUUUUGGCCCUGUCCCCUUGCACGGUAGUUCAGUGAUAGUGGGGACAGGACUGGGUACUGAGGGAGACCGCUCAUGUUCAUUUCCUCAUCCAUAGAUACAGUCUGUCCCCUCAUAUAGAGUACUUCCAUAUAUAUUGUCUGACUCAUCUGAUGUUUCAUUUCAAGGUUAGCAGAAUAGAUAUGUUAAUCUUACAGGAGAAGGAACAUGGUCUGGAAAGGUUAAUUGAUUCACCUGAGAUCUUAUGAAGAAGCAGCAACAGUGGAGUGUGGUGGCAUACACCAGUAGUCCCAGCACCGGGGAAACUGAGGCAGGGAUUUCAUGAGUUCAAGUCUUUCUACACACCUUAUUUAGGAACUGCCUGCCAACUAAAAAGGCCGCUUGAGACUGGGAACUUUCCAGUUCAUUAUUGGAUUUCUUGUGUCUUAUGAAUAACCUGACAGAACAAGAGGUAUGUUUGCUCCACACGUGUUGAAAUCAUGUGUCAGUCACUGUUCUUUUGUCCAGGGGUGCUCAUAGCCGGGAAUACAUUUUAUAUUGUGAGACAAUAAUAGUAAAUACUUCAUCAGAGUACUCAUCUUUUGUAUGCGGAUACGGUCUGCUAGUUUCCAUUGUGUGUCAUCUUCCAUUUCUUUGAGUUUUGUUUUUGUUUUUUUGUUUUGUUUUUUCAAGACAGGGCUUCUCUGUAUUGCUUUGGAGCCUGUCCUGGAACUCACUCCAUAGACCAGGCUGACCUUGGACUCACAGAGAUCCACCUGCCUCUGCCUCCCCAUUGCUGGGACUAAAGGUGUGCACCACCAACACCCAGCCUGAAUUUUGAUUUUAAAUCCUGACUAGUGGGAUUGUAAGUAUGUCUCUAUCUGUGGCUUCUAUUUUCUCUUUUAAGUUGCUCUCCAAAUGAAUGCCAUGAUCCAUGUCUUCUAUGUAUCAAGCUCUAGACAUUUCUGAAAGAUGCAGAGGAGGGGUCCCAAAGGAUUCCUUGCUCUGAAGUCAAGGAAGGUUCAUGUAUAACUAGUGAGGGAAAAUAAUAAGCUAGGGACAGAGAGGGGAUGCACCAGGAAGGGGGAAGUUGGAUGAGGGAAGGUCUCUGAGAGGCUCAUCGGGACUCUUCUGCCCAUGGAAUCUAGAAAGGUAGUUAGUGGCAGCCUCACUGGAACCCCCAAACCCACAUAGACAAAGUUUGGGCACCCUUCUGUCCAUAUAUUUCCACUCCAGAAGCCCUCCAGGGUUUCGAUAAAGGGUCCCUUUUCUAAGUUAACGUGGGAGGCAAGUGGCCAUUCUAACUUUUGUCUAACAGCUUUAUUAUCUCUUGCCUACAAAUCCUGGACCAGAUGGCCAAGGUGUGACUUUAACUUAGUUCCAGAGUGACAGGUGGUGGGGUGGAGGAGGCAGCUGGAGAGAUGGCUUAGUGGUAAGAGCACUUGCUCUUGCAGAGGAUCAGGGUUUGAUUCCUAGCACACAUGGGGGUUCAUAACCAUCUGUAACUCCAGUUCCAGGGGCUCUGGUGGCCUCUUGUGGUUUCCAGGGUACUACAUGCAAGUGGUGCACAGGCAUGCCUGUGGGGCCCCCUCCAGCCCCCCCCCCACAAGUGACAAGCAAACCCUGGACUCUCUAGACCCAAAUACCCUACCAGGAGGGGCCCUGUUCCAUUCUCUUUCCCUGACUGUCACUGGCGUGUUGUUGAGAAGUAACCUGGAAACAGCAGCUGUUCUUUCCAGAUUCCCCAGUACUGGGACACGCAUGGGGGCUCGCAUGGCGUGGAGCUGCUACCUUGUCUCCUAUGUGGAUUGAGAUCCUAGGCCCAGCUGAACCAAAGGAAGCAGAAGCGGCGGAAUGGGCUGGAAGAGCUUCCUCUGGGUGUACUUGCUUAUGAUGCCCUUCUAUAAAAAGCAAGUGGGAAAGCCAGGAGAGACCUUCCAUGACCCUCUGAAGUCACUAAAAUGUUUUAUUUACUUAUUUUAAA